GCACAAGCGGUGGAGCAUGUGGAUUAAUUCGAUGCAACGCGAAGAACCUUACCUGGGUUUGACAUGCACAGGACGCUGGUAGAGAUAUCAGUUCCCUUGUGGUCUGUGUGCAGGUGGUGCAUGGCUGUCGUCAGCUCGUGUCGUGAGAUGUUGGGUUAAGUCCCGCAACGAGCGCAACCCUUGUCUCAUGUUGCCAGCGGGUAGUGCCGGGGACUCGUGAGAGACUGCCGGGGUCAACUCGGAGGAAGGUGGGGAUGACGUCAAGUCAUCAUGCCCCUUAUGUCCAGGGCUUCACACAUGCUACAAUGGCCGGUACAAAGGGCUGCGAUGCCGUGAGGUUAAGCGAAUCCUUUAAAGCCGGUCUCAGUUCGGAUCGGGGUCUGCAACUCGACCCCGUGAAGUCGGAGUCGCUAGUAAUCGCAGAUCAGCAACGCUGCGGUGAAUACGUUCCCGGGC
rnacentral:rRNA from 1 species